CAAGUUUGAUCCUGGUCGGACGAACGCUGAACUAGUGCUUUCGGCAUGCUUGUUAACGAGAAAGCCCUUCGGCGUGACCACAGUGGCGAACGGCCGACCAACACGUGCGCAACCUGCCCCUCGCGUGUUGAUAACCUUUAGGAAACUCCGGCUAAUACCCCGUAAGCUUUCAGAAACGCAUGCCUCUGAAAAGAAAUGAACCUUCGGUCCUCCGGCGAGGGAUGUCCCCGCGGCGCAUUACCUACUAGGUGGGGUAAUGGCCCACCAAUGGGAGGAUGCGUAUCUGCCUUGAGAGGAUGAUCCCCCUCGCUGGUACUGAUACACGGCGCGUACUCCUACGGAAGGAAGGACCCAGCAAUCUUGGCCAAUGCCCCCCCUUCUGACCCAUUUUCCCCGUGUGCCCGAUGAAGGCCUUCGGUGCCUAAAGCCCUGGUGAUAGGGACGAAGACUUAAAGGGUUAAUAGCCCCUACCCUGACGACUACCUUUCUGGAAGCCCCGUGCUAACUACCUGCCAGGAGCCGCGGUAAUACCUAGGGGGCGAGCGUUGUCCGGAAUUAUUGGGCGUCUUCAGCGUGUAUCCUGUUCGGCAACUCUGUCGUGUGCUUGUGAGGCUCACCCUCAAUUGUGCUGAGUAUACUGCCUGCGUACAUGAUCGCAGAGGCGAGUGGAAUUCCCGGUGUAGCGGUGAAAUGCGCAGAUUUCGGGAGGAACACCAGUAGCGAAGGCGGCUCGCUGGCCGUUCCUGACGCUGAGACGCGAAAGCUAGGGAGCGAACAGGAUUAGAUUCCCUGGUAGUCCUAGCCGUAAACGAUGGACACUAGGUGUGGGGGGAGUCGAAUCCCUCUGUGCCGCAGUUAACGCGUUAAGUGUCCCGCCUGGGGAGUACGGCCGCAAGGCUAAAACUCAAAAGAAUUGACGGGGGCCCGCACAAGCAGCGGAGCAUGUUCUUUAAUUCGAUGCAACGCGAAGAACCUUACCUGGACUUGACAUGGUGCUGCAAGCGCACGGAAACGUGUGACCUUCGAGGGUGCACCACAGAUGCUGCAUGGCUGUCGUCAGCUCGUGUCGUGAGAUGUUGGGUUAAGUCCCGCAACGAGCGCAACCCCUGUGGCGUGUUGCCAUCAUUAAGUUGGGGACUCACGCCAGACUGCCGGUGACAAACCGGAGGAAGGUGGGGAUGAGGUCAAGUCAUCAUGGCUCUUACGUCCAGGGCUAGAAACGUGCACAAUGGCUGAUACAAAGGGUUGCAAGACCGCAAGGUGGAGCGAAUCUCAUCAAAGUCAGUCUAAGUUCGGAUCGCAGUGCAGGCUCCUCUGCAAGAAGGCGGAGUUUUUAGUAAUCGCGGAUCAGCAUGCCGCGUAGAAUACGUUCCCGGGAGUUUGUACACGCCGCCCGUCACACCACGAAAGUUGGCAAUACCCGAAGCAGGCGCAGCCACCCCCUUGUGGGAGGCGGUCUGCGAAGGUAGGGCAUUAGAUUGGGGUGAAGUCGUAUCAAGGUAGCCGG
rnacentral:rRNA from 1 species